GCAACGCUGGCUGGGGCGUUUCGAGGCGGCGGGUUUCGAGCUGGUCGGGCAGGUCUGGUUGCCGGCGGCACCGGUGGCGACCCUGGUGUUGUUGCA
rnacentral:tRNA from 1 species